UACUCCUACGGGAGGCAGCAGUGAGGAAUAUUGGUCAAUGGGCGAGAGCCUGAACCAGCCAAGUAGCGUGCAGGAUGACGGCCCUAUGGGUUGUAAACUGCUUUUAUGCGGGGAUAAAGUGGCGUACGUGUACGUUAUUGUAGGUACCGCAUGAAUAAGGACCGGCUAAUUCCGUGCCAGCAGCCGCGGUAAU
rnacentral:rRNA from 1 species